GACGGAGGAUGCAAGCGUUAUCCGGAAUGAUUGGGCGUAAAGCGUCUGCAGGUGGCAGUUCAAGUCUGCUGUCAAAGACCGGGGCUUAACUCGGAAAGGCAGUGGAAACUGAACAGCUAGAGUAUGGUAGGGGCAGAGGGAAUUCCUGGUGUAGCGGUGAAAUGCGUAGAGAUCAGGAAGAACAUCGGUGGCGAAGGCGCUCUGCUGGACCAUAACUGACACUCAGGGACGAAAGCUAGGGGAGCGAAUGGG
rnacentral:rRNA from 1 species